rnacentral:lncRNA from 1 species
UACCUCUUUAUUUUUUUUAGUUUUCGGCGGACACAACAUCUUUGUUGGUAUGUGGUGCUGAGGAUCGAACCCGGGCCGCACACAUUCCAGGCGAGCGUGCCACCGCUUGAGCCACAUCCCCAGCCUCAAGGGCCACCGUUCUUAAAAGAAUCACCCAAGCUCUUGCAAAUGGCGGUUGAAUUCUUGUGAAGGUUCCAGAAGAGGUUUCCAAGGCAGACGUGGACAUUAUUAGAAGUGUGUCGGUUUCUCCAGCCGAGGAGCUGAGCAGACUCCCUGGCAUGGGGUUGGAGAAGUUGCUGCGAGCUGAAGAGGAGGUACGACAUCACCGCCAUCCCCAGGCUCGUGAUCCUGAAACCAAACGGGGAGGUGAUCACCAGCAAAGGGCGGAAGCAGAUCCGGGAGCGGGGGCUGGCCUGCUUCCAGAGCUGGGUGGAGGCGGCCGAGGUCUUCCAGAAUUUCUCAGGUUGAACCGGGAGAAGGGACCACAGAGCCUGGACGGGGCGGCUCCUUCAGUGCAAACCCCCCGAGGGGAAAGAGGAGCCCGUUUUUUUCCCUUUCUCUCUAUGCAGCAUCUGAUUUUAUUUCAGAGCAGAAGUGCUAAGCCGUGGCAGAAAGUAAAUGUUGCUCAGGAAAAAAAAAACAAGCAAAAAUACCUCCUGCUCCGUUUGGAUCCUGUAGCUACGUGACAGUAAUUUUUAUUCUUUGCCUAGCUUUGGAGAUCUAUGCAAACAUUUUAUUUGUACAAGUCUCUUCAGGUAAAGUGAUCAGUUUAUGGAUGAAUUUUUCUGGCCAUCUAUCAUUUUAACGAUAUGUGUUAUAUGGUUUCACAACUCUAUUUAUUAUUAAACAAGUUUGC